GACGAACGCUGGCGGCGUGCUUAACACAUGCAAGUCGAACGGUAAGGCCCUUUCGGGGGUACUCGAGUGGCGAACGGGUGCGUAACACGUGAGUAACCUGCCCACAACUUUAGGAUAACGCUAAGAAACUGGAGCUAAUACUGGAUAUGUAUUCUUGCUGCAUGGGGGGGGUUGGAAAGCUCCGGCGGUUGUGGCUGGACUCGCGGCCUAUCUGCUUGUUGGUGGGGUAGUGGCCUACCGAGGCGGCGGCGGGUAGCCGGGCUGUGAGGGUGACCGGCCAUAUUGGGUCUGAGGUACGGCCCAGACUCCUACGGGAGGCAGCAGUGGGGAAUAUUGCAGAAGGGGCGCAAGGCUGAUGCAGCAACGCCGCGUGCGGGAUGACGGCCUUCGGGGUGUAAACCGCGUUCAGCAGGGACGAAGCUUUUUGUGACGGUACCUGCAGAAGAAGCACCGGCUAACUACGUG
rnacentral:rRNA from 1 species